rnacentral:rRNA from 1 species
GACGAACGCUGGCGGCGUGCUUAACACAUGCAAGUCGAACGAAGAGCGAUGGACGCUUGCUUCUAUCAAUCUUAGUGGCGAACGGGUGAGUAACGCGUAAUCAACCUGCCCUUCAGAGGGGGACAACAGUUGGAAACGACUGCUAAUACCGCAUACGAUCUAAUCUCGGCAUCGAGGAUAGAUGAAGGGUGGCCUCUACAUGUAAGCUAUCACUGAAGGAGGGGAUUGCGUCUGAUUAGCUAGUUGGAGGGGUAACGGCCCACCAAGGCGAUGAUCAGUAGCCGGUCUGAGAGGAUGAACGGCCACAUUGGGACUGAGACACGGCCCAGACUCCUACGGGAGGCAGCAGUGGGGAAUCUUCCGCAAUGGACGAAAGUCUGACGGAGCAACGCCGCGUGAGUGAUGACGGCCUUCGGGUUGUAAAGCUCUGUUAAUCGGGACGAAAGGCCUUCUUGCGAAUAGUGAGAAGGAUUGACGGUACCGGAAUAGAAAGCCACGGCUAACUACGUG